rnacentral:rRNA from 1 species
AUGCACAAGAAGGCUCCUGCCAAGAGAGUGCACACGUCGAAGGCGAGAGCCUCAACUCUUGAAGCCUCCAAAUCAACUGUGGAAGAGGCUGCUGGUGAGGGCAAGAAAAGGAAAGAAAGGGCCAAAAAGACUAUGGCAAGAGUUAUUGGAAAUCCCUCAAUGAUGAUACAAUCAGAUGAGGAAGAGGAAGAGGAAGAAGAGGAUGUUGCACCAGCAUCAAAGAGUGAGAAGCUAAUGGGGGAUGCCAUCAAGUCUGGGGCUGCUCCAUCAAAGCCCAAGACUGCCCCCAAAGCUACUGCUCAAGCUUCAAAGGCUGCACCAAAGAGAUCCACCAGGAAUAUACCAGCUGCUGAGAAGAACAAGGCCCUAGUGCCUGAAAUAGAAGAGGAAGAAGAAGAUGAAGCCCAAGUGCUAAGAAAGUCGAAGCCCAAGAUCCCAUAUCAUGAUGAUACACAUCCAGUGGCUGAAAACAUGAAGAUAAGGAACGAUGCAGGUCUCAGAUUAUGGAGACAGUCAAAUCCUUAUGCCUCAAGAAGAAGAACUGCUGUAGAUUACAAGUUCCACACUAAGGAACAACAUGACUUCUAUGGGACUGUGCUCCUGGAUAAGAAGCCCAUAGUCAGUGACAUGAAAUGGGUUGAUUGGAAGUACAUCGACAACAAUGAAGACCACUUCCCUGGAGUUCAUGAGAGCUUCAGGAUGAAUGGAGUUGAU